ensembl:lncRNA
CAUGUCAAUGCACCAACAAAGGGACGGGAACAUGCAUAGAUGAACAAAGACCAACAUGUCAAUGCACCAACAAAGGGACGGGAACAUGCAUAUAUGACCAAAGACCAACAUGUCAAUGCACCAACAAAGGGACGGGAACAUGCACAGAUGACCAAAGACCAACAUGUCAAUGCACCAACAAAGGGACAGGAACAUGCAUAGAUGACCAAAGACCAACAUGUCAAUGCACCAACAAAGGGACGGGAACAUGCACAGAUGACCAAAGACCAACAUGUCAAUGCACCAACAAAGGGACAGGAACAUGCAUUUGCAACUCCAUUUGUUGGAGGCUGGGCAGGAAAACGGCACAUGUCUGAAACCAUCAACGGUACCUGUAAAGCACUCGGCACAGCUUGUCGCUGGUAGUGACAUGGGGACAAAUAUCUCGUUUGCGUCCCUUUAAAACUGCAAUUUUUAUAAGAACCAACAAUAUGAAAGAUAAUGGUCAAAAUGAAAAAAGCCAAAUGUUGCUUUAGCAGGUUUGUUGAUCAAUAGACUUAAAACAUGGUAAAUUGUCACCCCUCCAUAGAACAUAGUGCUAUGGGAGACUACAUACUAUAUACCCAUGUUAUAUAUAUAUAUAUAUAUAUAUAUAUAUAUAUAUAGGCUUCAUUAAAACUCCAAAAUGAGAAACAGAAUCAGUCACGCAAACUCUCUGACACAUAAUCAUAGAUAAUCGAGAUAAUAAUAAAUAAAAGCCAACGGAUGGUUCAGCUAAGCAGUUAGUUUGGAUGUAGUGAAGUUCUCUACAUUUAAAAUACACUCUUCUGACAUCUGCCAACUUUAAGCACACACAAGUAUGAGGAAACCACACACACACACACACACACACACACACACAAACACUGGGCUUUGUGUCUCAGUCACCACCUCCCACAACAACCACAGUGAAAUGGUGUGUGUGUGUGUGUGUGUGUGUGUGUGUGUGUGUGUGUGUGUGUGUGUGUGUGUGUUGGUCCCAAGCCCCGCCCCACAUCCAGCCCUCCUCCAUGUGAAGAGGGGCUCAAUGAUUUGUCUGCUUGUUAGCUGGGUGGUGCAGAAGGUAGCAGGGGGCACGAGGAGGCAAUCAAACAGCAGGGUU